rnacentral:tRNA from 1 species
GCCCGCGUGGCGGAACUUGGCAGACGCGACGGAUUCAAAAUCCGUUGUCCGAGAGGACGUGAGGGUUCGAGUCCCUCCGCGGGCA